rnacentral:tmRNA from 1 species
GGGGGUGAAACGGUUUCGACGUUGCAUGUUGAAGCGCUUGAAGCGAGCCGAGGUCUCCGGAGUCCUCGUUAAAGAACCGGAACACCAAUAGGUGCCGAAGAUAACUUCGCCCUGGCAGCCUAAAUAGGCUGCUCGUCUGACCGGAGGGUACCUACCUCGCCGGACCCAGACGUCGCAAUGUAGGACGCUCCCCGAGGGAUUCCGGGACUGAGGGGCUAAGACAAUUCCGGAUAGGUCAGAGGGAAACUUGCCAUCAGAGCCCCACUGGUCCGAAUGCUUGCUGUUGGCUGCGCUCGGAGAAGCGGCGCAGAUGGUGCAACGGACGGGGGUUCGACUCCCCCCACCUCCACUG